rnacentral:lncRNA from 1 species
CACACAUCUGUAAUCCCAGCUACUCAGGAAAGUGAGACAGAAGGAUUAUAACCUAGACAACCUAGAAUCAUUAAAAAAAAAAAAGAGAGAGAGAAAUAUACAAUCACUUUACUCAGUUAUCCUCAAAGCUGCAUGAAACAAUGACAGGCAAAAUUACCAUCAAGAAAAACAGAACGACUUGAAAAUUUUCCAAACACCAAAAUAAACAGAUACACCACAGGAACUUUGCUGAAUGAACACACAGCAGCCUAAUUCAGCAGCAUAAAGCCUGAAAAGAAUUCG